rnacentral:misc_RNA from 1 species
AUACAAAAGAAAGUCACAGAAAGAAACGAGGAGAAAGCGACAUAAGUUAAUUGUGGUGGCUUAAGGUUGCAAAUGCAGACAGGCGUUAACUGGAAAGAAUGGUUGAUUGGGAAGUGUAGUUGCAAUCGUUGUAAUAUUGUUGUCAUCAUUGAUAUUUUUCACCCUGUUUGUAGAUUCAUUGAGUUGGUGCCAACCACCUGAUACUGACGUACUUCAUAUGUUUUAACGCCUGCUCUGAGCAUGGUGUUUAACCAGUCGUCUCCAUCCAGGUGUACCAAAUUUUUUGUAUGAUUGUAGCAUCAUGGCUUUCUUGGAAUAUAAGGUGGGAUCUAAGAAAGUUGCACAAGGAUCUAACAAUAUAAAAGAACUCAAC